CUUCCUUCAAGUGGGUCAAUUUAGUCUUGCAAUUUGUUUAUUUCCUUUAGCAUCAGGUUCUUGUUCAUACAUAUUUUUCUUUUUCAGUCAGUAUUACAUGACUAUAUCAUGUUAGUUGGGCAGAAUAUGGCUGCAAAAAGAAUCUUGUUAUGCAGCUACCUCAAAUUUUGUAAGCUUUUUUCUUGUAUUUCUGACUUUUUACAUAUGUAUAAAGUACAGUGCCUGUAUAUAAUAAAAGUUCAG
rnacentral:lncRNA from 1 species